UGGGUGUUAUGGGCAGAAAGAAUCAUCUAUGCCUCUACUUCCCCGUAGCCGAGCCUAGGGUGGAGAGGCCAGGUAUCCUCUCCUGGGAGAGGUGUUUGAGAAAGGAGCCUUGCCUGGGUUGUCCUAGUCUCACAUUU
rnacentral:scRNA from 1 species